UACGAAGGGGGCUAGCGUUGUUCAGAAUCACUGGGCGUAAAGGGCGCGUAGGCGGCUUUAUAAGUCGGGGGUGAAAGCCUGUGGCUCAACCACAGAAUUGCCUUCGAUACUGUAGAGCUUGAGACCGGAAGAGGUAAGUGGAACUGCGAGUGUAGAGGUGAAAUUCGUAGAUAUUCGCAAGAACACCAGUGGCGAAGGCGGCUUACUGGUCCGGUUCUGACGCUGAGGCGCGAAAGCGUGGGGAGCAAACAGG
rnacentral:rRNA from 1 species